CUGUCAUAGGAGCAGCGGCCCAGAUAGAACACUAAGUACUGAAGCCAAUGUAUCCAGCAUGAGAGGAGGACACACCCAGCCUGAUCCUGGCAGCAGCAGGAGAAUGCCAGAACAUACGUAUCUGAGAUGCAAAGACUUGUGCAGGUCCCUGCUUGUUCCUCGUGUCUGACACACACAGAUUAUCCAGACCAACAAGAGAGGCUUCCUAAACCAGCUGAACUCGUUUGUGGAGCCCACCUGGGAUUGUGGGGCAUCAGUCUCAUUCAGAUGACUCACUGACGAGAGAGAAGGGAUAUACUUUUGGCAGACAAGAAUGUUGUAACAAAGAGGAUCAGUGACCAGUUUACUUCUCCGAGAUUUACCAGAAAAUAUACAACUAUGGGAAAGAAAAUGCUUAUUUGCCUAUUUUAUAGCAUCAAAUUCUAGUUUUCACUAUGGAUAAAUAUCAGUUUACCCUAAAAUGCCCCCGGAAACCCCAAAGGCACUUAGCAAUAAAGCACAGUCCCUAGUGUGUUUAAUGACAAUUAUAUCUGUUAGGCUACAGUUAGUAGGGGGCAUUCAGAAGAAUAACUGGUUUCAAUAUCUGCCAAAAAACCCAAUUGCUUAUUCAGGUGCAGAUGCAGCCCUACCCGGUAAAGCUGCUGGGCAUGUUGUACACACGUCAGUAAAGAGCAGUGAAGCAUGAGCAUCGGGCUGGCACGUGAAAUACAAUGACCAAGCUGUUCCUUCAUUCAAUUAGCUGGCCAUAAAGCAAGACUGCAUUAAAGAGACAUAGAAGUGCAAAAACAAAAUGUUCUAAUGUGUAGCGUUUAAUCAUUGCUUCCAUGUACCUAUAUGUUUAUUCCCUGCAAAAGUCUCUUAAAACUGCAUGCUCUAUCCGAAUAGUUUAAUUUUAACUUACAUGUCCCUUUAAAUCAUAAAAUGGUUAAUCAUUUUUUAAUGAAAUAAGUUUAUUUUCCCCACUGCAUAAAACUGACAUGCACCCAGCAGUAUUCUGAACUCUGACUCAAACACUUUGCACAACUUUUACUUAACCAGGACAGAUGUCUCCCUAAUUGGCCACAGCAGGGGUAGACCUCCCACUUGUCCCUAUUUGAGAGGGAUAGUCACCAAUUCUAAAGCCCUGUCCCACUCUGUGACUGAGACCGCCAUAUGUCCCUAUUUGCAGAAUUUUCCUUAGCCCCACCCACUGACCGCCAACACACACCCACAAUACCACUAAUUACCAUGUAUAAUCUCUCCUGAAUGGCCCUACCCACAAAAUGAUGAUAGCCUCUAAAUCUCCUGAGUCUCUAAUACCUAGCCACAAAUGUUGGGAGGUAUGCAGGUGAUGUAAGAAACAAUGCUCAAGACUUUUUAAGGGGUAUUCCCUGGACUCCUCUUAAACAAUGCACAAUUUGCUAAAACUAUUAUAGUGUAAAAUAUUUUGUAUACAGAUCUUUUGCAACAAAGUGCUUAAUUAUAUAAAAAAUGACUAACAUCCUUUCAACUUAUACAAUCACAAAAUAACCAAAAUGUAAAAUGGUUUGUAUUAAAGUUUUCAGGGUUGUUUUUAAGAAA